UACGUAGGGUGCAAGCGUUUAAUCGGAAUUACUGGGCGUAAAGCGUGCGCAGGCGGUUUUGUAAGUCUGACGUGAAAUCCCCGGGCUCAACCUGGGAAUUGCGUUGGAGACUGCAAGGCUGGAGUCUGGCAGAGGGGGGGUAGAAUUCCACGUGUAGCAGUGAAAUGCGUAGAGAUGUGGAGGAACACCGAUGGCGAAGGCAGCCCCCUGGGUCAAGACUGACGCUCAUGCACGAAAGCGUGGGGAGCAAACAGG
rnacentral:rRNA from 1 species